CAGAUCCCCUGAAGGGAGUAAUAAAGGUUUCCUGUUCCUGUGGAACCAGAAGAAGGAGGGGUUGAGGUCAGGAGGUCAGAUCCCCUGAAGGGAGUAAUAAAGGUUUCCUGUUCCUGUGGAACCAGAAGAUUUCUCCAAGAUCCUUGUUUUCUUCAACACAGUUGACCAAAGCUCUGCUUGGAUACAAGACUGAUGACUCAAUAACCAGCGUUGACAACAGUGGAGAUGAUUAUGUACCAGGGCAUCAGGAUCAUCAGAGGAAGACAAUUCCUAUGAAGAACAUCUGACAGGAGAGAAGAUUGGGCCAAACAGCCAAUGACCAAGGGAAAGCUGGGACAAGAGAGAGGCUCACACGUUUAGCAUGUUUCCUGCUGCCUUCAGUGCCAAAGGAACAACAAGGUUUUGGUCGACAAUAGAGGUGGAUGCAGUUGAAGAUUCCUUGAUGAAUUUUAUCCGACUGGGAAAAACGCCUGGAAAACAAGACUGUGAGAAAUGCAUUGCUGCUUCUCCCCAAGCGCUAGUAAACAGGGACUGGAGAGCAGUACAGUUAUAUUUAUUACAGGUCUAUGUAGACAACAGAAUAGUACAGUUCUAUUUAGUACAGAAAAAUAAAAAACAUUUUUCUGUACUAUUAAUCUGUUACUUGAAUAUAUUGAAUCCAUUACUGGAUUGGUUGUUCCAGUUUAAAUACUUUACAGAAGAAUUACACUACAGAAUAAUUACACUACAGUAGAACUACACAACAGUAGAACUACACUACAGUAGAACUACACUACAGAAUAACUACACUACAGUAGAACUACACUACAGUAGAACUA